ACAUCCACGUAGUCUAAACCCGCCAGCGGCGGCCUCCUCUUCGAUUCCCAUGCCACCUCCUCCUCCUUCACUCGCGAGACAUUGGAGCGGGAGCUCACCAGCUACUGUCGUUGCCUCACCUUCCGCCAUCACCUCCGUUUGCCGUGGUGGGGGUGUCGGAGGUUCAGCCAGCGCGGUGAUGCCAACGUAAGCGACCGGCCAGUGGUAUGGCUUCUGCUACUGGAGGAAGUGGCGAUGGUGGGGGCGAUCAUCGUUCCUCUUCCGGCAAGGGGAAAACCAUAGUUGUCCCUUGGGAUAAGCCGAAGAAAAUGAGCAUGUUGGAGAAAGCAAUGCUUCGUUAUUUGCAGAAACGUCAUAAGCAAUCCUCAAGGAGCGAAAGGCACGACCUUGUAUGUCAAGCUUGAUUCGUUAGAAGACAUCUACAAGAUGCAUGGCCACCACUAGUGUUACUGAGACGAGUACGUGGACCUCAGAUGAAUCAAGAAGCUCAGUAUUUCAAAGUUCUACGACGGUAUCGAGUGGAUCAGGGAUUAUUUUGAUAUUUUUCUGAAUUUGUAAUAUGAUACUGUGUGGACUAUUUUGAUUUUUUCGAACAAUUGGUUAUUGUGUUCUGUUAAUUUGGAUUUUUUUUGAAUUUGUUAAAUAUCGUUAA